ACACAGAAGAGAAGCAGCGCGAGGAAGAGGUAAGCAGUGUAUUAAUGCAAAACAUGAUCAAUAUGAUGUGAAGUGAGAAAUGUAUUUAACCCUGUAGAGCCCAGAGAAAUGUGUUAAUCUGCAGUGUGUAUGAUGACUGUGAGGUUUUAGCAGCAUUAAUGAGGACAGUAUGUUUAUGAGGACACGUGUUAUAAUAGUAAACAUUCAUAAUGAAGAUAUUCUCAUUUCACACAUUUUAUACCAUCUUGCCACUUUUUGUGUUGUUGGAAUAUAAAAGACACAAAUAAUAAAACUAUGAUCAGACUUUAUGAUUCAGCUGAUAAAGAUUUAUACUGUCUGUUAAUGUUUGACUUCAGUUGUUCCAAAGUUCAGAGCUGCUGUUCUGUGAUCACAUUUCCUUAAAGAAGACUUCAGAUUAAAGAUGAACACAGAGAGAUGAGACCUUAAAAACCUCCUGCUGUUAUUAUUGGUUGAUCUCAUUCUUUGGCAGUGUUAAAAGAAAAGAAAAGUAAAGUAAGUCUCAGUAUCUCCUUGAGCAUUAAUUGUGAGUAAAAACUAAAUGAGCACAAAUAUACAGAAUAAACGAUAAAGUGUCAAAAUGCAGCUUAAAUAAAAGCUAAUGUGUCUUUGAGUUAUUUCACAUAUACAGCUUGUUCUUCUAAUAGUGUGUUAUGGUGUUACAGUAAAUCAGAGGCAAGCAGACCAUCAUUUCAUAUUUAUUUACACUAAAACACGCAGAUCCUGCAAACCCAGGAAGAGGAAGACAAAAGAGGAAGAGCUGAGACAAACACUGGUGAUUUGUCUUUGAAGCAGAGGAGCGUCACGUCUCUCUCUCUCUUUCACCUGUCUGCAAACACGGAAGAGAAGCAGCGCGAGGAAGAGGUGUUUCUCUGCUAUGGAUCAGUGUGAGGACAGAGAGGAGGGAGUCCCUCCCUCUAAAAGCUCUCUGUGUGGGGAACAUGACAGCCAGACCAAAGCUCAGAGG